rnacentral:rRNA from 1 species
CGCGAUAAGGGGACACUGAGAGGCAGCCCCAUGUGUGGGCUGUCCGCAUGUAUAAAUAACAUGUGUUAGCAAGGGCCGGGCAAGACCGGUGCCAGCCGCCGCGGUAACACCGGCGGCCCGAGUGGUGGCCAUUAUUAUUGGGUCUAAAGGGUCCGUAGCCGGUUUGAUCAGUCUUCCGGGAAAUCUGACAGCUCAACUGUUAGGCUUCUGGGGGAUACUGUCAGACUUGGAACCGGGAGAGGUAAGAGGUACUACAGGGGUAGGAGUGAAAUCUUGUAAUCCUUGUGGGACCACCAGUGGCGAAGGCGUCUUACCAGAACGGGUUCGACGGUGAGGGACGAAAGCUGGGGGCACGAACCGGAUUAGAUACCCGGGUAGUCCCAGCCGUAAACGAUGCUCGCUAGGUGUCUGGGACGGUGCGACCGUUUCAGGUGCCGCAGGGAAGCC